UAGGGAAUCUUCGGCAAUGGGGGGAACCCUGACCGAGCAACGCCGCGUGAGUGAAGAAGGUUUUCGGAUCGUAAAGCUCUUUUGUUAAGGAAGAACGAGUGUGAGAAUGGAAAGUUCAUGCUGUGACGGUACUUAACCAGAAAGGGACGGCUAACUACGUGCCAGCAGCCGCGGUAAUACGUAGGUCCCGAGCGUUGUCCGGAUUUAUUGGUCGUAAAGCGAGCGCAGGCGGUUAGAAAAGUCUGAAGUGAAAGGCAGUGGCUCAACCAAUGUAGGCUGUGGAAACUGUUUAACGUGAGUGCAGAAGGGGAGAGUGGAAUUCCAUGUGUAACGGUGAAAUGCGUAGAUAUAUGGGGGAACACCGGUGGCGAAAGCGGCUCUCUGGUCUGUAACUGACGCUGAGGCUCGAAAGCGUGGGGAGCGAACAGG
rnacentral:rRNA from 1 species